CCGCGCUAGACGGGGAGGUAGCGGUGCCCUGUAACCUGCAACCCGCUGUAGCAGGGUUGAAUUCCUGAGCUGAGGGCAUACCUUGUGGGGUCUGGCCUUGGUAAGUGGCGAAGAAGUUUGGGUCCUGCGCAACAGGAGGUCCUGAACCGUGUCAGGUCCGGGAGGAAGCAGCACUAAGGGAUUUUUCUUGUGUGCCGCAGGGGAGCCUGGAUGGAGUUAACUGCCCGGGUAACGCCCGGAAGGUCUGUUCGAAGCCAGGUGCGCGG
rnacentral:SRP_RNA from 2 species